UACGGGGGAGCAAGCGUUGUUCGGAUUUACUGGGCGUAAAGGGCGCGUAGGCGGCCACCGCAAGGUCAAUUGUGAAAUCUCCGGGCUUAACUCGGAAAGGUCAACUGAUACUGCGGGGCUAGAGUGCGGAAGGGGCAACUGGAAUUCUCGGUGUAGCGGUGAAAUGCGUAGAUAUCGAGAGGAACACCUGCGGCGAAGGCGGGUUGCUGGGCCGACACUGACGCUGAUGCGCGAAAGCCCAGG
rnacentral:rRNA from 1 species